GCAAUCCUAGGCUUUACCAGUUUACGAUUCCUAGGUUAAUGAUUGGGCUUCUCCGUGCAAUCAAUCACCACAUCGUCACCAAUAUAACAUUUAGGUUAUUUGACGCUCAAAAAUAAGAACUUUUUGGUGAAUAAGUUGAAAGAUUAUGGAAAAUAAUGAUUUCAAAUCAACAAAUUGAAGUUGGCAUUAUAAAUAAUGCCAAGAUUUGAGAAGUAUAUAAUCCAAAUUGAUUAUUUUGUGAUUGAUAAUAUUGUUGGAGAAAUUACUAAGGGAUGAGAUCAACACGAAUCACAUUAGUUAUUUACUCUACUUUUCAAUUAAAGCAUAAUCAUGCAGAGAAAUAAAAUAUGAAUUUCCUUUCUCCAAAUCAAUUCACAGCAGUUGGUGUUGGGUAGAAAUGAGGGGAAAUUGCCAGUACUGUUUUCUAUGUGAUGCUGCAGAUCACUAUACCAAUCAGCAUGCACACAAAACAGGUGUCAACUUAAACAAAUUGCUUCACGCAGGAAACAAGGUUCAUAGAACAAACUCUAAAAGAGAUCAGCAAUUUGCCCCUGUUCGACACUAUACAUGUUCUUGGGAUUGCAGAUGUUUUCCCUUGAUAUUAACCAACUUCUAAUAUCGAAAUACACAUACACCAAACAUAUUUCCUUGUUAUGUUUAAAUUUUUAUAUAUCUAAAGACACUUUUGUUUCCAUUGGCUUAAAAUAGACCAAAAUUUCCCUUCUAAUCUCUAUC
rnacentral:misc_RNA from 1 species